rnacentral:rRNA from 1 species
GGCGAACGGUCGCGUAACACGUUAGCAACCUGCCCCGAAGACGGGACAACAGCCCGAAAGGGCUGCUAAUACCGGAUGUGGCCAGCGUAAGAGACAUCUUUUGGUGAUUAAAGCGAUAAUAUCGGCUUCGGGAGGGGCUUGCGGCCUAUCAGCUAGAUGGUGGGGUAACGGCCUACCAUGGCGACGACGGGUAGCUGGUCUGAGAGGACGGCCAGCCGGACUGGGACUGAGAUACGGCCCAGACUCCUACGGGGGGCAGCCAAUUAGGAAUCUUGCGCAAUGGGCGAAAGCCUGACGCAGCGACGCCGCGUGGGGGAGGAAGUCCUUCGGGAUGUAAACCCCUUUUAGGUGGGGAAGAAAAAAAUGACGGGUACCACCUGAAUAAGCCCCGGGUUAACUACGUGCCAG